AUACGGAGGAUCCGAGCGUUAUCCGGAUUUAUUGGGUUUAAAGGGAGCGUAGGUGGAUUGUUAAGUCAGUUGUGAAAGUUUGCGGCUCAACCGUAAAAUUGCAGUUGAAACUGGCAGUCUUGAGUACAGUAGAGGUGGGCGGAAUUCGUGGUGUAGCGGUGAAAUGCUUAGAUAUCACGAAGAACUCCGAUUGCGAAGGCAGCUUACUGGACUGUAACUGACGCUGAUGCUCGAAAGUGUGGGUAUCAAACAGGAUUAGAUACCCUGGUAGUCCACACAGUAAACGAUGAAUACUCGCUGUUUGCGAUAUACAGCAAGCGGCCAAGCGAAAGCAUUAAGUAUUCCACCUGGGGAGUACGCCGGCAACGGUGAAACUUAAAGGAAUUGACGGGG
rnacentral:rRNA from 1 species